AGAUGUGAGGGUGAUCUGGCUGUGACAUCUGUCACUACACUGAUCACCAAGGUUGAUUUGGCUGAUCUGGCUGAAUAGGUGGGUGUCCCCUUCCUCCCUCACCACUCCAUGUGCGUCUCUCCUGAAGUUGCACACUGUCUACGGCCAUACCACCCUGAACACGCCCGAUCUCAUCUGAAGUUGCACACUUAGUCCAAGAGGACAGCCUUCGCUCAAAUAGAGAUGGACCACCGAGUCUUCGGUCAAAGGUAUAUGAAUAGCUGCACUCCCCUGCUAGAACCUCUUAACAAGCUCAAGUCUGUUAUCAGAAGAACUAAGGAUGUGGAAUAGUCUAGUCUGCUCUGCAGAAUGAAUUUUCUG
ensembl:misc_RNA 7SK 7SK RNA